UGGUGCUGAUAUGGGCUGCUUUUAUCCAACUACUGCUAACCGCUGGUGGAGUUUGUGACUGUUAAAUGCCGACCAUUCUACAUUUCACACAAAUUACCGGCUGUGUUCCUACUCGG